rnacentral:rRNA from 1 species
CACUUUCAGCAACGGAUCUCUUGGCUCUCGCAUCGAUGAAGAACGCAGCGAAAUGCGAUAAGUAAUGUGAAUUGCAGAAUUCAGUGAAUCAUCGAAUCUUUGAACGCACCUUGCGCUCCUUGGUAUUCCGAGGAGCAUGCCUGUUUGAGUGUCA